rnacentral:tRNA from 1 species
GGCCCUGUGGCGGAAUGGAUAACGCGUCUGAUUGCGGAUCAGAAGAUUCCAGGUUCGAGUCCUGGCAGGGUCG